rnacentral:rRNA from 1 species
UACGUAGGGUGCGAGCGUUGUCCGGAAUUAUUGGGCGUAAAGGGCUCGUAGGCGGUCUGUUGCGUCGGGUGUGAAAACUCAGGGCUUAACCCUGAGCCUGCUUCCGAUACGGGCAGACUAGAGGUAUGCAGGGGAGAACGGAAUUCCUGGUGUAGCGGUGAAAUGCGCAGAUAUCAGGAGGAACACCGGUGGCGAAGGCGGGUCUCUGGGCCGAAACUGACGCUGAGGAGCGAAAGCGUGGGGAGCAAACAGG